CCUACGGGGGACAGCAGUGAGGAAUAUUGGUCAAUGGCCGAGAGGCUGAACCAGCCAAGUCGCGUGAGGGAAGAAUGUCCUAUGGAUUGUAAACUUCUUUUGUCAGGGAGCAAAGUCACCCACGUGUGGGUGUUGGAGAGUACCUGAAGAAAAAGCAUCGGCUAACUCCGUGCCAGCAGCCGCGGUAAUACGGAGGAUGCGAGCGUUAUCCGGAUUUAUUGGGUUUAAAGGGUGCGUAGGCGGGUUAUCAAGUCAGCGGUAAAAUCGUGGAGCUCAACUCCAUCCAGCCGUUGAAACUGAUGUUCUUGAGUGGGCGAGAAGUAUGCGGAAUGCGUGGUGUAGCGGUGAAAUGCGUAGAUAUUAGGAGGAACACCGGUGGCGAAGGCGGCCUGCUGGACUGUGACUGACGUUGAGGCCCGAAGGCGUGGGGAGCAAACAGGAUUAGAUACCCUUGUAGUC
rnacentral:rRNA from 1 species